AGAAAAAAAGAAAAUAAUGGGAUGAAUGAUUUUGUUUCUCUAUACUUCCAAUAUUUAUAAAAUAUGAAGAAAUGUAAAUACAACAGAAACAACAUUCAAUUUUGAUAAGAUACUUGAUGGCACAGGCAGAGAAAUCUGUGGGUUAAUAGAACAUUUGCUUCACUCAAUUGCUAUUGUUACUUCUGUAAUUCUUACUACAGUCUUUAGUGUUAUUCAUUCAUGUAUCAGAAUCCUGUUCUAUAUUGCAUACAAUUAUAAUGUCAAGUACAGCAUAAUUUUGUGCCAACAAAAACAUUAGUAAUACAAUUGUUAUCUAUGGAAAUAAUCAACAACACUUGCCAAAGAACAUAACAGAAAUAUUUAAAAGGGAAUUUGACACAAUGGAGAUUUAGUAAUACAAUGUUAGUGUGUUCUCUGGUAGGAUAUUUAAAUUCCCUAGCAAAGUUUAUUGACCGUGUUUGUAGUAUCAUUCCUGAAUUCUCUCCUGUAAAAUUGGCUUCCCUUCUUAUUAAUAAUGUGGUCAGUAAAGCACAAAAUUCCCUUUGCACAAUUGAAAUGUUAAUGCAUUUUACUAAGCCAGUCAUUAUUGUAGCAUGUAAGGAUUAUGAAUGGAUAAGAGAACCAUUAUUUUUUUUCUUAAUGGAGACUGAAUAGUGUUUUCUAGCAUUAUGAAAGAUAACCACCAGGGAAACUGUGCUGGAUAGCACAAGACUGAACUCUCUAUGUCCAGCAAAGACAGCUUAUUGUGUGUAUAUAUCAUGAUCUUAUAUUGAAAUCUCCUGGGAUAAACUGAGGCUCUUUCCUACUUUCUCUUUUGUUCAAUUUUAUCUGUUUUUUUUGUUGACAGACACAGCAUUAGGAAUCAAAAAGUUAUUGUCAAAAGACCAUUGAGUUCAUAUGAUUUGGCUGUUUAUUGCUUUGAAUAAAAUCUUCCAUGAAUGUGAUUUCUAUAAUCAGCCAGACUCCACCUUAUUAAAAUAAUUUCUUAUUUAUGAACAUUUGUUCUUUCUCUCAGUAAUGUACCCUGUAGACUGCCCCCCUUGUUACAUCUGAAAGACAUUGGUUCCUUUGUUACAUUCUUUCCAUUCCCAGUUUCUCUUAGCUUUCCUCCAACACAAAGAUCCAUGAGAGAUGAAGGAAGAGUUUUGAUAGAGAAUUUGCAUUUAUGACUGAGUUACCAAAUUUCUCUUACUCUAUACACAUUUUUCAGUUAUGUGUCUGCUUUUGUUCCCAUCAAUAACAGAUAGUAGCUUCUGUGAUCAUGGCUGAGCAAUAUACUAAAGGGAAUAACAGAAUAUUAUUAGGAUUCCUUACAUUGUUACAUUACUUUUGUAGAAAAAAAUGGUGUUUGGUAUGUGCCUUGAUCCACAAUCUACUUACAUCUCUUUUCUUUGGCAUAUAAACUUCAUCAGGAAUGUGUCUCAUGGACUGGGCAUUGAAUCCAGUCAAAUAAUUUAAAUUACUCUCACCACGUUUGUACAACUAUUGUACCCAUGUACACUGUAGACUGCCCUCCUUGUAAAUUGAAGGAUUUCAGCUAUGUUCAUCUUUCCUUUUCUCCUCAGGAAGUAUGAAUAAAUUUUCCAAUCCAUGAACACUGUCGAGAAGGAGUGAAUGCUCCAGUUAGUCAUCAACUUUAAUUCUUCAUGUUCAAUGAGAUAGGAAGUAUGAAUAAAUUUUCCAAUCCAUGNACACUAUCUACAAGGGUGAAUAUUCCAGUUAGUCACCAACUGAAACAUCUUCAUGUUCAAUGAGAUAGGAUUUACAGAGUCAUCUCCAAGAUAAAACCUAUACUAGUUGGGACAUCUAACGUAUGCUCUUCUUCAGAGUCGUUGAAAGAAUGAUGCAGUACCCUGUUUUCUGCCACAUCAGGAUAUACACAAGUCAUCACAAUUGUUAAAGAUCAAUGAGAAUCCUCUGAGGCUGCCUGACUGAAAUAAUGGAUGUUGCACUCCAAUUUAUAUAACUAAUAUGACUUUAUUAGUUGAAAUCUUGAAGCUGUGAAAGUGGCAACACACAGCCAGCAAGGAUUGGGGCAGUAUUUCUGGCAACAGUAAUUGAAGGUAACUCCUUUAGUAAUAAACAUUAACACUUUUAGAUUGUCCCAAAACACAUACUAGCUUUCAUUACAGCUCACCAAUUUCCUCUGUACCAUUGUGCUUAGAGGCUUUCUGAAAAGAAGACAGUUGUAAUCUUUGCUACUGAAUGCAUUAAGUGCUGAGAAUUCAACAUGAAGACCUCCCAUUCCUCUGAAAAUUAGUUUGGUUUUGCAUGUAGGACAAAGCUUUUCCUCCUUAAAGAAC
rnacentral:sRNA from 1 species